GCCACGGAAACUCAGAUGUGUGUUUCUACCUCAAACGGAAACAAUAUGGAAGCGAGUCGUGAUCUCCGAAUUCCUUGACUUGAAACCAGUGAACAACAACACCGAUACUGGUGCGGAAAGACCCUCCAGCUCCAGCCACGUGACAAGGCGGGGCCGCCCGCAGCGGUCCAAUCACACCUGCGGACAGGUGAGGCUAUGCGGAAGGGCGUGAGCGUAGGUUCAGAGCAGGGCAGCCUUUUAGAGUCCCGGUUAGAGUCCUCUCUUGUUUCCGAUUUCUGGAUUUGCUCCGGUUUCGAGUUGGAUUUAACCCGUCGGAGGAAUACGACCCCCUUCCCUUCCCCCGAAUACCCACAGCUAAGCAUACUCGAGGAUUUCUUCAACAAGCGAAAUUUGUCAGCGAUGGCGACGUUACUGGAUGGUAAACCAAGAAAGCGAGUGAUUAGUUUCGACAUGGUCACCCUCGCCAUUGUCUUCGUGUUUACAGCAGGAACAGCAUCCGGCUUAUCCGUCACCACCAACACACCUGUAGUCCAAGUGCCAGAGAACUCAGGUUGGUCUUCCUGUGUGACACUGCCUGCUUUCAUUAGGGGGGCUUUACAGAGACUAACGCUCAGUGUAAUCGUGAUAAAGCCAGGUGUCUCUGUUCGCUUACUGUCGAGAAACAUCUUAACUUUGUAUACAAAGUGAUUCCUUGGCAACUUAGACUCCUCACAGCUACACCUGGUCAGGACUGCACCCCCCUGUGCCAAGAAUCAGGACAUGAUUGUCAGGUACUGUUGACUUAGAAAAGCAGGACAUUAGAUAAGGAAGCAGUGUGGACUGAAGGUGGGGUCAGAGGUCAAAGUUAAGGCUUGUGAGAUGCAAGGGCUGCUGAGCUAUGCUAGGCAGGAAGAUAGCAGAGAAGUAAUUCUUCUAGUUUAAUAAGAUAAUAUCCUUUUUAAAUCACAUAAUUUGUUCUACUUUUUCUUUCAGGGGCAGAUCUAAACUGCCAGUAUUCUGCUGACUUUGUGAACCCAAGAGUUGAAUGGAAAUACAAGGAUAAAUCAGGAUCUCAAGUUUUCCUGUUUUAUGAUAGCAAACCAAC
rnacentral:lncRNA from 1 species